GCUGUACUACAUAACAGAUUGUCAUAUGCAAUCAAUAGGUAUUGAAUAAAAGAAAGACUACAUAGACAAAUUUAUUUGGGAAUUGCUGAGUCAAACAAUUUUAAAGAAGUUUCUUAUUCCCAGGGCAACUUCAGACCUUUAAUAUGUUAAGGUUUUGUAAUUUUUGAAAGCAGCAGUAUGGCUUGUACAGUGUCUGUCAUAUGGCCAUGAAACUACUUUGUAGAGGGAAACCUCCGUGGACUAAUACUGCUUGAAAUUCAGGAUGAAAUUCUGCUAAACCUAGAGCUUUCUGAGGAUCAGAAGGGCUAUUUCCAUGGUGUUCCAGUUCUUCUCAAUGGUCCCAACACAGGUAGCUCUGCACCCUUCCCCCGCCCCAAGGUAAUAGACAGUUCUAUUUAUUGAGCUAAUUGUGCUUCUGGAUAAAACAUACAUGUGAGAAAUGGGGGAAAAAGCAGUAUAAAGACAAAAAUCUACAUGUAGUCUGGAACAAAGAGGGAGAACACAUGGUAGGUGAUAAUUUGAGAAACUUUAGCUAAUAAAAGACUUAACUUUUUAGCAUAGGGGGCAGUAGACUUUCUUUAAAAGACUCAACUGGUGAAUAUCUUAGGUUUUGUGGGCCUGGAUUUGAUAAUCACAUCUAUGAGUUCAUGCGUCUUUUUCUGUUUGUUUUGCUUUCGUUUUUUGUUUUGAGAUGGAUUCUCACUCUGUCGCCAGGCUGGAGUGCAGUGGCAUGAUCUCAGCUUACUGCAACCUCUGCCUUCUGGGUUCAAGCGAUUCUCCUACCUCAGCCUCCUGAGUUCAUGCUUCUACAAUCAUUCAGUAAGGAUAUACAAGGGGCAUUAACCAUGCUACUAGCACGUUAAUGGAAGCCAUGCUUCCCUGCCAAGAAGAAUGAUUUUCCAACCACUACUAACCAGCAAACGCAGCAGGCUGCACCUGAAACAUACAAAUAUGACAUCAAAAAAAGAAGUUUGGAGUGUCUGCUCCAUGUUGGAUAAAAAAACUAAAUAA
rnacentral:lncRNA from 1 species